CAAGGACUAACAUGUGUAGAUAUCUCUUAAAUUAGUAGGUAAUCCAUCACAUAUAUUAUUGAGACAAACUAGCAACAUAGAAAGUGCAAUAAAGUAGCAACAAUGGCAGCCAAGAUAUGUUCCCUCCUUAUGCUCCUUGCUCUUUCUGCAAGUGGUUCUAGCGCGACCAUUUUCUUGCAAUGCUCAUAAGAUCCUAUAGCUUCCCUUCUUCCCCCAUACCUCUCACCCACAAUGGAUUCAGUAUGUGAAAACCCAAUUCUUCAACCCUACAUGAUCCAACAUGCAAUCUCAAUAACAUCUUACCUUUAUCACCCUUGUUCGUCCAACAACCGGUAG